rnacentral:misc_RNA from 1 species
UACAUGGGGAGGAGCGUAUCGAUGGGAGCUUGCUCCCUGAGAUUAGCUGUACACGGGUGAGUAACACAUGGGUAACCUGCCUGUAAGACUGGGAUAACUUCGGGAAACCGGAGCUAAUACCGGAUAUGUUCUUUUCUCGCACGAGGGAAGAUGGAAAGAUGGUUUCGGCUAUCACUUACAGAUGGACCCGCGGCGCAUUAGCUAGUUGGUGAGUUAACGGCUCACCAAGGCAACGAUGCGUAGCCGACCUGAUAGGGUGAUCGGCCACACUGGGACUGAGACACGGCCCAGACUCC